AGCUGUUUCUCUCUCCUCCAGGACUCAUUGCUUCCAUUUGCUUAGCUUAAACUUUGGCUGUUUUGGUGUAAUCAAAGUAGAUACUCUUAGAAACAAGAAAAAAAGCAUGGGAUAGCGAAUUUUGUUUGCAUAAUAACAGAAAGAAAAGCAGAAAAUAAUGCAAAAUGUGGGUCCUUAGGUUAGGGUACUAAAUGCUUUAUUUCACAUGAGAGGGUCCUACUGCUUAUUUACCAGAGGGGGCUGGGGGGGGGGGGGCGGUGAGGAUCUGUAUCAUAAAACAGGAAGCUUGUUUAGAUGGGAAGUCAGGCUGCAAACUUCCUUUAUGACUUCCGACAAAUUGUUUUGCCUGCUUUCAUUGUAUUUAAUUUCUUCAUUUGUUAUGACAUCUUGCAGAAUUGCCUUCUAGGACUUUCGUGAGAACUGGUUUAGUCCAUGAAUGUACUUUGAAGAGGUUUGCAAAAGAGACUAAAGACACUCUAAUGUGAUAGGAUUUAAAAUGAGAUAAAC